CCCUUCGGGGCUUGUUGGUGAUUCAUAAUAACUUCUCGAAUCGCAUGGCCUUGCGCCGGCGAUGGUUCAUUCAAAUUUCUGCCCUAUCAACUUUCGAUGGUAGGAUAGUGGCCUACCAUGGUGGCAACGGGUAACGGGGAAUUAGGGUUCGAUUCCGGAGAGGGAGCCUGAGAAACGGCUACCACAUCCAAGGAAGGCAGCAGGCGCGCAAAUUACCCAAUCCCGAUACGGGGAGGUAGUGACAAUAAAUACUGAUGCAGGGCUCUUUCGGGUCUUGCAAUCGGAAUGAGUACAAUCUAAAUCCCUUAACGAGGAACAAUUGGAGGGCAAGUCUGGUGCCAGCAGCCGCGGUAAUUCCAGCUCCAAUAGCGUAUAUUAAAGUUGUUGCAGUUAAAAAGCUCGUAGUUGAACCUUGGGCCUGGCUGGCCGGUCCGCCUCACGGCGUGCACUGGUCCGGCUGGGUCUUUCCUUCUGGGGAGCCCCAUGGCCUUCACUGGCUGUGGGGGGAACCAGGACUUUUACUGUGAAAAAAUUAGAGUGUUCAAAGCAGGCCUUUGCUCGGAUACAUUAGCAUGGAAUAAUAGAAUAGGACGUGCGGUUCUAUUUUGUUGGUUUCUAGGACCGCCGUAAUGAUUAAUAGGGAUAGUCGGGGGCGUCAGUAUUCGGCUGUCAGAGGUGAAAUUCUUGGAUUUGCCGAAGACUAACUACUG
rnacentral:rRNA from 1 species